rnacentral:rRNA from 1 species
AUACGUAUGGGGCGAGCGUUGUCCGGAUUUACUGGGUGUAAAGGGAGCGUAGACGGCAAAGCAAGUCUGAAGUGAAAGCCCCGGGCUCAACCCGGGAAUUGCUUUGGAGACUGUGUAGCUGGAGUGCAGGAGAGGUAAGCGGAAUUCCUAGUGUAGCGGUGAAAUGCGUAGAUAUUAGGAGGAACACCAGUGGCGAAGGCGGCUUUCUGGACAGUAACUGACACUGAGGUACGAAAGUGUGGGGAGCAAACAGGAUUAGAUACCCUGGUAGUCCACACCGUAAACGAUGAGCACUACCUUGGGUGA